rnacentral:rRNA from 1 species
AUUGAACGCUGGCGGCAUGCCUUACACAUGCAAAUCGAACGGUAACGGGCCUUCGGGUGCCGACGAGUGGCGAACGGGUGAGUAAUACAUCGGAACGUGCCCGAUCGUGGGGGAUAACGAGGCGAAAGCUUUGCUAAUACCGCAUACGAUCUACGGAUGAAAGCAGGGGACCGCAAGGCCUUGCGCGGACGGAGCGGCCGAUGGCAGAUUAGGUAGUUGGUGGGAUAAAAGCUUACCAAGCCGACGAUCUGUAGCUGGUCUGAGAGGAUGAUCAGCCACACUGGGACUGAGACACGGCCCAGACUCCUACGGGAGGCAGCAGUGGGGAAUGUUGGACAAUGGGCGCAAGCCUGAUCCAGCCAUGCCGCGUGCAGGAUGAAGGCCUUCGGGUUGUAAACUGAUUUUGUACGGAACGAAAAGCCUUCUUUUAAUACAGGGGGGUCAUGACGGUACCGUAAGAAUAAGCACCGGCUAACUACGUG